AAUUUCUAUUUAAUUUCUGUAAUUGUUUUGAUUUUUUACUAAUCUUUUGUCAGUUGUAUAUUUUCAGGGGUUCAGAUGAGGGACGACGACAGAAGAGGACUUUGGCCGGCCAAAAGAAGAAGAGGACUACAUUGCCUAGCUAUGAAUAGAAACCAACAUUGGCCAGAGUGGAGGAUGCCUGGAUCCCAAUGUUAGGAACAACUUCCUUGUUUGUCAGGAGGAGGGUGGGGAGCAGGGCGGGGAAUUAACUGCUGACAAGCAGAGAAGAAAGCAGUAGGCGGUUAGGAGGAUCUGCAUGCAGCCCCUGGUGUGGACGAAUCUUGCCUCCCAAUCAACUGCAGUCAUCGUUGGAAGAAGCGGAUGCAGAAGAGAAGGACCCAUCCCAAGGAGCAGAAGAGGACCCAGUUCAUCAGCCAGAGAGCCUGAUAGAGAAGCUUUUUGAUUUAUCCCCCUCUCUCUCUCUCUCUUUCUGUCCCCUCCUUACUCUAACAUGACUAACCAUCUCCCUUCCCCUCCUCUACUCUCAACUCUCUUCUGCCCUUUCCCAAAGUAACAGUCCCCUUUU